UCAUGACUGGGGUGAAGUCGUAACAAGGUAGCGCUAGGGGAACCUGGCGCUGGAUCACCUCCUUA
rnacentral:rRNA from 3 species